GAGUACGGUAGCUCCAUUGAACCCGAAUUAUGUCGGUCGGAAUAUCAAAGUUGCCGUGUAUUAUGCACGAAGACGCUCCAAAAAUGAGUGUAACGCAGAGUUUGGCCGCCUCCACGAGCCAGGCCAAGAGCGACAUCGUAACCAGCGUGCCUCUGGAUUUCGACAUGAGCUCAGCGGACUCCAAACCACCCGAGACAAUUGAAAUCGACUUAAAAAUCGCGUACGUCGAUCCGUCUAAUGGAACUGGGGGUGAGCCCGGCGGUUACUUGCCUGCAGCCGGAACCGUGUGCGACCAAACUGACACAAAGGAUGUGAUCGAGGAGUUGUGCCCAGUUUGUGGAGACAAAGUCAGCGGCUAUCACUACGGCCUGCUGACCUGCGAGUCCUGCAAAGGUUUCUUCAAGCGAACCGUGCAAAACAAAAAGGUGUACACAUGUGUCGCUGAACGAGCCUGUCACAUAGAUAAAACACAGCGGAAACGCUGCCCAUUUUGCCGUUUCCAAAAGUGCUUGGACGUCGGGAUGAAAUUGGAAGCUGUUCGAGCGGAUCGCAUGCGAGGAGGACGCAAUAAGUUUGGGCCCAUGUACAAACGAGAUCGUGCUCGCAAACUCCAGAUGAUGAGACAGCGACAAAUUGCUGUCCAGACGCUGCGUGGCUCGCUGAGCGAUGGCGGGCUUGUGCUCGGAUUCAGUUCGCCAUACGCAUCAGUGCCCGUGAAGCAGGAAAUCCAGAUCCCUCAAGUGUCUUCAUUGACAUCUUCCCCCGAGUCUUCUCCCGGCCCGGCCCUGCUGGCCGCGCAACAGCCGCAGCCGCCACCGCCUCCGUCCCACGACAAGUGGGAAGCACCCUCACCCCAUUCCGCGUCGCCGGACGCGUUCGCCUUCGAUGCGGCCACCGCCGCUGCCACCCCAUCAAGCACAGCAGAAGCCACCAGUACAGAAACACUGCGAGUUUCUCCAAUGAUUCGUGAAUUCGUUCAAACAAUCGACGACCGCGAGUGGCAGAAUUCGCUCUUCGGACUCUUGCAGAGCCAAACCUACAACCAGUGUGAAGUCGAUCUCUUCGAAUUAAUGUGCAAAGUUCUGGACCAAAAUUUGUUCUCUCAAGUGGAUUGGGCGCGGAACACCGUGUUCUUUAAGUAUCUAAAGGUUGAUGAUCAGAUGAAAUUGCUGCAGCACUCGUGGUCUGACAUGUUGGUCCUGGACCACCUGCACCAACGGAUGCACAACGGCCUGCCCGAUGAGACCACGCUACACAACGGACAGAAGUUCGAUUUACUGUGCUUAGGUCUCCUGGGCGUGCCCUCUCUCGCCGAGCACUUCAACGAGCUCCAGAACAAGCUAGCCGAACUCAAAUUUGACGUUCCGGAUUACAUAUGCGUCAAAUUCUUGCUUCUUCUCAAUCCGGACGUGAGGGGCAUAGUGAAUGUGAAAUGCGUCCGAGAUGGCUACCAAACAGUGCAAGCUGCGCUUUUGGACUACACGCUCACUUGCUAUCCAAACAUACAGGAUAAGUUCGGCAAACUCGUGAUGGUUGUCCCCGAGAUCCACGCGCUGGCCGCGCGAGGGGAGGAGCACCUGUACCAGCGGCACUGCGCGGGGCAGGCGCCGACGCAGACGCUGCUGAUGGAAAUGUUACACGCCAAACGCAAGCCUAAUGGAGGUGAAAUGGUUAACCGGAGUGCUGAGCAUACGUCGACUCUUGACAGAUUGUCUUGAGUUCCCAGUGAAGAAUAACAAAAUGAAGACCGAAGAUGCGCCAAGCGCUCCUGAUACCACAUCAGAUAGUAUAUUUUACAAAAAUACUACUUAUUAAUUAGCUUUAGUUGUUAACUUGGUGUGUGAUUAAAUUUAUUAAGUUAUUGCGCCGAGCGCCGGCCGGCGGUGCCGCGCGUGCCUAGUCCGAAUACAGAUAAAAAAAAUAUUUAUCUACCUAAUAUCUGUAACAUAAAUAUACAAAAACAUUAUACACCAGUUCGUGUAGCUACGGUUAAUUUAUUUAGCAGUUUAUAUUGUGUUACAUCAAAAUUAUGUAAGUACAUUGAUGGUUAUAUUACUAGGUUCUCUAACUCCGGUGCAUAAGGGAGAAAUAUUACAAUACAUACUUUAGGAAAACGUCUGUGAUUAUAAACGAAGAAAUUUGAUGAAAACAAUUUUUAUCGUUACUUGCGAUCAUGAAGAGCAUAAUAUUUGUUAGUUUUAUUGCAGUGUGUGCUGCGGCCGCGCUUUGUCGAUCCAACGUUACUUAACGUUAUUAUAUUAAUAUACGAUUUAAUUCUUUAAGACUAAGCACUCUAUUGACUUGUUAACGUUCUUACUGAUCAAGACCCUCUCGCUUCAGUCCCGCAGUGCAUGCCAGAGAUCGCUAUGAGUGAAGGUUGGAAGGCGCGGAUGUUCAUUGGCUUGAAUAGGUACUUCAGAAUGUAUCUAAUGUUGUUAUUUGAAAUUAACUUUAUAUGUAAUUAUAUACAUAUAUAUAUUAUAGAUAAAUAAAUAUAUUGUUAAGAUGAACAAAUUAUUCGAAAUCAUGUUUAAAUUUCACAGUUGUUCACUUUAUUAUAAAGAUAUUACAUAUAUCUGGAUGUAGUGUUGUUUGACGUUGUUUUUAUUGGCCAUACCAGUACAAAUCAAAUUAUUAACCUACCUUGUAAAUAACAAAUCUAGUAACACGUUUACACUGAUUUCCUCUACUUAAUAUUGUAAUUAUGUAAAAUAUCUCUCAACAUACGUGCAAGAAGCCUUAAAAAUCAUAGAUUUUUAAAAAAACGUGGUACUAGCUUCUAUUCGACAGUCGGUCGAGAAGAUGAUGUAUUUUUAUAAAACAUAUUGUUCUUUAUUAACAUAUAUAAUAUGUUAACUGAAAGUACAUGGUUUCGUAUUUUUCUAACAUAAUUAAAUAUAGUAGCGUACGUAAAAAAAAGUUUAAUGAUCAACUUUUAAAGUGGAAUAUAAUUAUUAUAUAUACUUACAUAACAUAAACUUCAUUCUAUCAUUGUUAGUAACUCACAAAUUAAGCAUAACGUUGAAAAUUUAAUUUGAAAACGUUUUAUUUUUAUAUGGCGUCGAUUUGUUGUUAGGCAAUGCCCAUUUCACAAGCCGAUUCAUUUCUUCUGUCAUCUUACAGUCUUUGGUUGCCCUGCACUCUGAAACAUGGCUCUUCCAAGCCACUGACUGUACUUAUUUACCAGGUCUCGAAUAUAGCUAGUGGUGUUUGCAUAUAAGUUGCUUAAUUAUAAAUAUAACUUGGUAUUCGCUUCUUCUUCGGUGAAUGUGUGAUCACACGCUGUUCCAUUGAAAUGGGCUUCAUUCAAUCCUUGCGUUGGAUGAAUUACUUAGUCUAAAAUGUGAUUGACGGUUUGUGUUUAUUGAAUGUUUAAAAAUUAGUAUCUAUCUAAUAUAUUAGUGUCAUUGCACCAAGUGCAAGUGUAAUGUAGGCCACAUCAUCGAGUAGUAGGCAUUAUUUCGAGUUAUGUUGUUAUUUAAAUUGCUUAGCGGCUCUUUACUAGGCCUGUACUGUAUAUAUUUACGGCACCGUAUUUUAUCUGUCAUACCGUCCAGUGAAAAUUGUUAUUAAAAAUCAUGACAAAAUCAGUGUUUGAAAACGCAAGAUAUAAUUUGAUUGCAUGUUUUCAAACGCACGUUUUAAAUUUUUUGCACUACGGACACAGUGAGAUGAAUGAUAUGUAGUUGCGAUGGCAAUAGAAUGCAAAUAGAGUACCUGUACUACGAGUAUUCGAUAUUGACGUGCUAAUUGAAAUCAAGUUUGACGAAGUUCCUCAAUAGAUUAUUGUGGUUCAAAUUUUUUAAAUAUACAGAUUAUAAUAUGAACCUCAUUUGAACAGCAAUAUCAUGAUUUUAUAAAAUUUUACUAAAUUUAAGAGUCGUAAUAGUCAUAAAUUCUUUCGAUAUACGUUUUUUUUAUCUUUCUUUAAAUUUUAUUUUACUUACUAUCGCCGAUCACAUUAAUGUAAAUAGCGUUCAAAUUUAGAAGUCGUAAACCCCAUGUCGUUUUAUUAUUAUCAUAAUAAUUAUAAUAAUGUUGAUUUGUGAAGCUGCGAUUAUCGACUCCUUUUCUGCAAAGGAUUUUCUUUGCAAUCUUUAACCCUUUUCGGCUGUCAUGGUUCUCGUUAAACAAUACAGUAAAUCAAAUGGUAUAUGCAUAUCGAUGCGUUUCUUGUACGGUAAGAAGUUGCUUACAUUUUUGAUGGGAUCACCACAUUGUUGGUAGUUUUGUCUCCAAUCGAAUAGCCAUAGCUAUUUUUUCCGUUACUUAAUCGUUUUCAUGGACAUUCACUUGUUUCAUCACAGAUGCUUGUUUGGCCUGUCCUUAUCCUUAAAUAAAAGGAGUCAUAUCGUUAGUCUUGCUUCAGUUUGUUUUUGGUAUAACUCGUUUGCUCGAGAAAUUGAAGCGACACGUAGCUUCACAACAUUGUAGUUGCUUUAUAAAUCGAGAAGCGAAUCUGUGAUGAUAGUUAGGUACGUUAGGCUGUGUGGGUCUUCUCCCUUAGGGGCACAACGACAAUUUGUGGUUUGUUUAUCAUGUUUCCUCUUCGGCUUUAUUAAAAGUCCCUUUAAUAUAAUGAUUUUUGAAGAGUGGUAUUUAAAAGUCAUAGCGCUGUGUUAUAAAGUUACAAAAAUUACUACAGAUGCCAACAUACCUCAAUUGAUGAUGCCUUUUAUUAGUUAUGUGAACAAUAAUUUACCAAACAAAUGUUACCAUUUUAUACAGUAUUUUAUGUCAAACUUUUAUUGGUUUGUUAAAAUACGUAACAGUAUUAUUUUACUUUUAUAUCUAAUUCAUCUAUUUUGAAAUAUUUUCCGUAUCUAAUAAAAGGAAUCUAGUUUUGAAUGCCUCAAAAUAAUCGUACGACUAUGAAGAAAUUAAUUUUUUACUACACAUUUAAGUACAUAUUAUUCCUAAGAAAAUAUGCUAUUAUUCUUCGACAAGGAAAUAAUAUACACAAAAUUUUAAAUUGCGACUCAAAUAGUGAAAGCAUAUGGACACUCCUACAUCACCGAAUAUAAAUGGAGUCACUUUAUAAAGGAUUAUGUGUAUUAUUUCUUAACGUUUGCAAAUAAAAUCUACUCGUACAGGAAACAGCUAUUGAUACGUAUAUAAGUGUAUAAAUUAGUUAUUAAUCAUGGAAUAUGUAUAACCGAUGUCCGUUUAUGUUCAAGAUAUAAUCAAUCUCUAUGUAUAACAUGUUACAUCACUAAUAUUUUCAUACAAAAUAGUAUGUUUAUACAAUUAUCAUAGUUAACAUACAAUAUGUAAACGAUAAACGAUUUCACAAAUUAGUUAAAAAUUAUGUCGUUUUUCCACUGGAAAAAAAAAAUAUCAAAACAUUCUGUUUCAGAAAAUUUAACAAAAGGAGGUAUAUUUUAUAGACUGUCCAAGUGAUUUAGUUAAGUUUUUAGAGUUUCUAUCAAUAUUUCGGAGUUUUAAAAGUAAACAUAUAAAUUAAACCAGUUUAGAACCAGUGAAUAAUUAAAUUUUACUCAUGAGAGACGUUUCAUGGUCGGCUUAAGUUUUCGGAGUGCCGAAACAAGAGAUCAUUUAACGUUUACAUAUUGCAUUGUCGUCCGCCGACGCAGCGCGGCGACCCGCGAGGACAGUCGUGUGCCAUGCUGACGCCGCGUAGGCAGUGCCUGCUCCCGGCGACAAGUACAAUGCUUCAAUAUUAGCGCUAAUUAGCAAACACUCUCUCUGAAUUUUCAAAUAGACAAUAACACUUGUUUUGGGUGCCAGUUGAAUUUCAUUUUUAAUUCAUUAAUCGCUAUCUCUCAUUUAAUAUCAUUCGCUGUCAUUUACUUAUAUUUCGAAUCGAAGCUACGUUCAUUUAAUAUAUAAUUUUGUUGAGUACUUGAGUAUAUUAUUCUAUACAUGUAAAAUCUAAAACUACUAUUUACUUCUAAGAUUAGGUUGUAAUAUACAGCGUACAGUUGUAUUUUAGUGUUUGUGUAAGUAAUAUCUAUAUUUAUGAAAUAAAAUUAUAAGUAUUUUAAAUGUUAAGAUACACAAUGAGUGUUCUAUAUAUAAAUGUAAAUUUUGAGUUCAAUUAGAUAGUAAGCGAAGAGUAUGUAGUUAUACCACUGUUGCGCAGAGUCGAACCAUGCGCUCCGUCGGCGCACGCGCGCGGCGGGUUGUCCGGCGGACACCGGACACUGUUACUUCGCUCAGAUUCGCUCGCGCAGCGUCACGUAACUACACGCGUCCGGGCGGCUCCGGACGGCGGGUACGUACGCGUCGCACACAUUCCAAAAUAACGCUAAUCGUAACGCUACGUGACGUGUGUCUUAUAACGCGUUACUUGUAAGUUAACCACUUUGUUGUUCAUUAACGAUAAGUUAGGUUUAAUCUCAGUCGAUGUUGUUUAACUUUAGUCUGUGUAUAGUAUUCUCUUGGUUAAGUUUAUGUGAGGACGUGAAUUUGAGCGAAUCGACAGGCUAUAACCUGAUGAGUUCAUACUAGCUAUAAAUUUAAGUACCUAAGCGAUUAUUUCUGUUGCACCUUAAUUUUAUUUCGCGAGCCGUGUUAGUUAUAUUUUAUUAAUUGUACAUAUAGUUAGGGCGAGGUAUACUGUGUUUUCAUCAAUCUUAAAUGGUUAUUGUUGAAUCUAAAAGGCGGGCUGGCAAAUACCAAUGCAAUGUUGCAUUUUGCUGUUAUAAUAAUGUCAAAUUUCUGAUACCAUAGUUUUACGGAUAUUUAUGUGUUACUGUUGUUAGACGGUGGUGAGGCUAAACCACGGGAGCGGGCUUCGGUCGGCCGCGUCCCUGGCGGUGCCCCGGGCCGACUCGCCCGGGGCCGGGGCCCGCGCCCGCUCGGCCGCGCGUGGAACGCAUCCUCGCACUCGGUCCGUGACCGACAUGUAUGUUAA